rnacentral:piRNA from 1 species
ACCAGAGUUGAAGUGACAGAAUUUGAAGA